rnacentral:rRNA from 1 species
CCUACGGGAGGCAGCAGUGAGGAAUAUUGGUCAAUGGGCGGAAGCCUGAACCAGCCAAGUAGCGUGCAGGAUGACGGCCCUACGGGUUGUAAGCUGCUUUUAUACGGGAAUAACGCGCCUUACGUGUAGGGCUUUGCAUGUACCGUAUGAAUAAGGACCGGCUAAUUCCGUGCCAGCAGCAGCGGUAAUACGGAAGGUCCGGGCGUUAUCCGGGUUUACUGGGUGUAAAGGGAGCGUAGGCCGCAUGCCAAGCGUGAUGUGAAAUGUCCGGGCUCAACCCCGGCCUUGCAGCGCGAACUGGCGUGGUUGAGUCCGCGGAAAGCAGGCGGGAUUCGUAGUGU